rnacentral:rRNA from 1 species
UACCGGCGGCUCGAGUGGUGGCCGAUAUUAUUGAGUCUAAAGGGUCCGUAGCCGGCUUCGUGGGUCCCCCGGGAAUCCAGCGGCUUAACCGUUGGUCGUCCGUGGGAUACCGCGUUGCUUGGGACCGGGAGAGGUGGGAGGUACUCGGGGGGUAGGGGUGAAAUCCUGUAAUCCUCCGGGGACCACCGGUGGCGAAGGCGUCCCACCAGAACGGGUCCGACGGUGAGGGACGAAAGCUAGGGGCA